GAAACUAAAUUUGGACUAUGUCUUCCUGUUUUUCAAUCUCCGAGUGAUAGAGCUAAGAAAUAAUAUAGAAUUUCAUACUCCUGUUAAAUAUAUAUAGAUUGAAAUCAUAUCAAAGAAUUCUUAACCACCAAGCACCAUUUAAUAGAAAUUAAUUUGCAGUAUGAUUUCUUGUUUUUUAACCUCCAAGUAAUAAGAUCGUUCAGUCUAAGAAGUACUACAAUUUCAUGCUCUUGCUAAUUGGAAUAUUUCCAGAUAUCAUCUUUGCGAAUUCUGAACCAACGUUUGUAUAUUAAAGCAUGCAUUUUUGUAGAGCUCAUGCAGUGAUUCAGAAUUCAUUUUUUUCUCUUCAAUUCUCUUCUGCCCUUUUACAGAAAAUUAUUAUCAUCACAGUAUGGUAAAUCAUAUGGAAU
rnacentral:lncRNA from 1 species